CAAACAGGCACUUGGAUAAAUCACAAAAAAGAAAACCACUUAGCAUGCUGCUUUCCUCAAUAACACCUUUUUCUGAAGGUACAAGGCUGAGUGCUGUAGGGAGAGUGUGUGUGAAGAGAAAAGCAAGGCUGCAACAGCCCGCUGAAGUGUGCUCAAGGUCAGCCCCUCUUACAGAAGACCAAGAGGUCACGUUUGACUUAGAAGGAACCACGAAGAUAAGUUUCAUGAGCGACAUAACUGGAGCCAUUAGCAAGCUCAUCCAAGAGUAAUCAUCCAUCAAAGGCACUCAGCCCAGGGGUGCGUUUGCACCCCCCCCCCGUCAGCAAUGGAUGAAAGCGGGCAGUGGCUCUACCAGCGUCAGUAUGCAGGAGGUCACUUUCUCCACAACCAGCGCUGCUCCAGCAGAUCACUAGUUGAGAAGCGAAUCAAACUGAUGUGAAACAUGGAGUACCUCUCACGUGGUCAUUGAGAGGAAGACUUGCUGGACAGUCUCCACAAAACCUCAACACUGGUUUGGAUUGGUAUUUCCUUCUGAGUGCAUCAGCAGUGCCAACAUGACGAAAGACAACUAGGAGUAAGGGCUACAGCUGCUCUUCUAACAUUGCUGGGACAGCCUCCAGAAUAAAUUUCCAGCUCCUACUAACUCCUACUGGAUGUAUCUUCUGCGCCAAGGCCUCUGGAAAGGACCUGAACUGGAGGAGGUUUGGCAAUUUAUCUGUGCUGUGUAGAAUCCAGCAAUAAGUUAUUCCGAUAGGAAGGUCUAAUACAGUUAAUAGAGCAUAUAAAACUGUCUACUGUGUUUCAUCAUAUUUAAUUUGCUGCAGCAAACUGCAGCCACCCAAUGCUGUUUCAGCCUCCCUUUUACAACCCUGCGGUGAUGCUCUCCCGGCUGAGGAGUUCCUGUGUCACCAGUGCUUCUGCGUUGACAGAGCAGUGCAAUGCCUCCAGAGCAUUCAGCUGCUUCUCCCCCUCCAGUGUGGUCCCAAGUGAAGCAUCUCCCUCACCACUGUGGGGAGAGCCACGAGGGACCCCGUGGCCCAGCCAUCCCCACAAAGAGUGGCCAAGCAGGAGGGCAACGCCAGCCUCCGGCCACCCGUAGCUAUGAUCUCUUCUGGGGCAUGAGCUUUGGGAGUGCUCGGGCUGUGCAGAAGGUUGGUGCACCUCUCCAGGGAUUUCUCCAGACGCAUCCUCCUGUCACGUUUUGUGGUUUGUGAGGGAUAUGAUUCACUACCCCAGCAGCCUACUGUGCAGCCUGUGCCCCGUGAUAGCGCUUAACGAGAGAGCAGUGACUCACCGGGCCCCCCCAGCCCACGGGAUGGUGGGACUUCACUUCUCGCAGGGGCUGGGGCAUCACAGGGUCCAGUCCGUGCCUCCCAGCCUUUGGUCAGAUGGGCUUACGUGCCACAGCAUGUGGCACGUGGCUGUGGCAAAACAGAGAUGUUGGGAUGAAGGGAACAGACCUACCUUAAGCUUAUUUAAGAAAAGCCGCUGUUAUGUUAGCUGCCUGCCCAGAUGAGGUGUGGUACUGAUGCUGCUGUCAUUAAAUUAAAGUUGUUCAUUUUUUUCUAAAAAACUUUCCUAGGUAGACAAGGAUUUCCUUUUUAAACUAGGAUAGGUUGAGAUGACUGGGUCACUCUUGUAUUUUCUUGUAAUGUGUGCAACAGUGGCUGUAAUCAUAGAGUCAUGCAUCACGUAGGUUAGACCUCUAGAGGUCAUCUAGUCCAACAUCCUUCUCCAAGUGUAAAAUACAGGUUAGUCACCUGCAAGCACCAGUCUGGAGUAUGAGCAAGGAGAAGUGGGCUUACCAGCAGAAAUGUCCGGGCACUGCUGCCCCAAAUACUACCUCAGCUGCCCCUAUCUCUCCAGCCCUUCAUGUAGCCUGUGUGGCCUCAGCCCAGCACAGUCUCCCUUGCACCUGCAUGGCACCAAGCAGCUCCCUGAGUGUCUACCACCAUCUCUGAUGUCCCACCUCAGCUCCACAAGAAGAAGGUGGUGGGUUACAAUAAUGCUAGACAUGAGCACACUUUGGUCUAAGGGUACAGAUGAGGGAAACAGGAGUACAUAUAGCUGGGGGUAUUACCACUAAUGUAUGCAAGUCUAGCACUACUGGUGCCCAUCAGAGAGACAAAAAAUCUCGUAUAAAGUAUUUCCGAAGAACUUUUACAGUGUCCCAGCCCAGUGAUCAGUACAGUGGUAUGGAAAGCAUCUUGUAGCACAUUUAUUUGCAUGAUGGCUGCUCUCACCCGGGCCAGGUUAAAAGGAUCAUAUCCCAACAGUAGGUAAAUGAGAGCUCUGCUCACCAAAACAUGCCUCAUAGCUACUCAGCUGGAAAGCAGGGAUCCUACUCAUGCCUUUCAAUCAAUAUAAAGUAUGCUGCUGGACCUCUUGUAGCUGCUUUUUCACUUCAAUUAAUUGAUGACCAUAAUUAACAUAUGAAAUACUUUAAAACACUUGUUUUGCGUAAGCCGUGACCUUCAAUCAUUGUCAUGAGAGCAUGUCCUGUAGCUAGCCUUAGAUGACAGGCAUAAUUUGUAACUAUUUGUUGUCCAUUCUGCGACCUAACCACGAAAGGGGACAGAAUGAAUACAGAAGUGUGGAAAGAAAGGAUGGCAACAGUAAAUGGAGAGCAAUUAGUGGAAUACUCACCAACAAAGUGUAGGUGGCUCAUCUCUGCAUUUUGCAGCCCUUGCAAGGGCAUUGCCUUUGGUUUUGGACAAAGGAUUUAGCUGCCCACUGCAGUGGACAGCUGUCACUACACCCUUUCUUGCACUCAUUGCAUUUGCAGACACAAAGAAGGUGCACAGGCUGAAGAAAUAGUUUCAUUUUUCCACUUUCUGGGUGAGACUAGCAGUUCUGUGCUGUGUUGUCCAAAGUGGUGGUACCAUUACGGGGCAAGAGUCAACACCUGAUUAAGAAGAUUAUUGCUGUGGACAAGUCUGAUUUCCUGUCUCUCAAUUCUCACCCUCUGCAGCUAUCGUAUUUCACUUCUGGGCUGAAAAUUCCCAUGUUUCAGCCUCCCUGUGACUUUUUGCAAGUCUGAGAGAUCAUUCAGCUCAAAGUGCUUUGUAGUUAUGGGCAAUAUUCUGCCUGCUCACAUUGGAUUUUUCUGCCUGCGUUCUUGCAGGUUCUUGUCAUAGGGCAGUCCAAGAAGGGUAAGCAUAUGUGGAUCCAGACACCUCAUUUCAGGAUUCUUCAAGUCAUUUCUAUUCAGUGUGUCUGGUGGGAGAGGAAGUCUAAACACCCUGUUCAUUUCAGGAGGUACAAUAGCAAGGUCCAAGAGGUUAAGAAGAAAUGAGGCUGACUGUAAAGAUACUGAGCUAAACACAAAGGGAGUAUGAAUAUCUGCAAGUGCUGGCUUGCUAUGGUUUCAGUGAUGUGUCACUCCACUCGACCGAAGUGGGAUGCUCAUGCUUUGCCAUAGUGUGGUAUUCACCAACCAUUUGUUGGGCAGACCAAACCUCCUCUGGGCACACCAAGAAGCUGGAAUUCAUCUCAUCACACAUUUGCCAUCUUAAAGUUAAGAGUCUUGUUUGAAAUGCACACUUAUGUACCUGCAAGCAAGAGAGAGGGAUACGCAUCUCAAGCAGGUGGAUCAGCUAAUCCUGAAAAGGGGUUUAAGGCAGGAAGGAUAAAUUGCCCUCCGGAGAUAUCUCUAUCUUGUCUUUGACUACAGAAGGAGCCUAGGCAGCAAGUUCAGACUAGAAGCUUAAAACAGAGCUUGCUAAAAGUUGGUAGGAGGAUUCCCACCAAAUAGUAAUGGUAGGAACUAUUCUGUGUGCCCAUCAAUAAAGUUUGCUCCAACUUGAGUCCAGUGGCUUUAAUAUUCAGCUCGAAAUUAUACAUUGCAUACUUGAUGCUAUAGUUCUCACUGGCCAGACUUCCUGGGUGUACACGAUUGUGAAGAGCAGGUAGAACAAUGGAUGAAGGAAACCUGGCCUUCAACCCCAGCUCUUCCAGGAUGUCUUUGUGUGACUGGAGAAGACACUUUACCUCUCUGCCCCUCAGCUUGUCCAUCUAUAAAAAGAAACAUUGGUACUGUUUUACGCUCAGUCGGGAUCCUCAGAGCAGUCAUUCACCUCAGUGAUGUUGUGAGUGUUGAGAAGCGCUUCUGCCCCUUCAUAGGCACCAGAAGACAUUUUUCUCUACUGCCUCCCAAGCCUGCACACACAGUGGUGGUUUGGACAUCCUAGGAAAUUACAGUAGAGCGCCAGACCCUGCAAGACUCAUCUGCUACCCUAGCCUGAAGAUGUUGAUGCCCAGACUGACAGGCAGACUGCCGUGUUCUUCACCAGCUACCAGAAAGCAUGCCUAGCCCAAGCCAUCUCAGGCCUUUGUCUGAGGAGAUCAAAUGCAGACCACCCACUUAUAAAGCUGGCAGAGGCAGGUAAACAGGUAUGAGGGGAAAAAUCACCUUUUAGCUACCAGGCCCUAUAUUUUCUGCAAAGGUUUCUCUCACCUCGCACUACCUGUCUGAUUAUUAAUUUAGGAAAUGAACUCACACAUACAUUCUGGGGAUCCAGGUCUUCUAUACCUGUAGUUAAAACUAUGAUCAAAGAGGAUUUCUGCUUGAAGACAAAUAUUUCUGUUUAUUUCCUAAGCCAUUCCUUUGGAUCUAUUCUUUUUCAUUGAUUUCUGAAUUCUAAAUUCCUCAUCAUGACUGGUACCAUGUCAGCCCAGAAAUAAACUCAUGUAGCAGUGACACAGAAUCACAGCAGCUCCUUUUCUUACCCCAAGUUCUGCUCUGUUAUGUUAGUAUAGUGUCCUACAGACUCCACUAUGUGAAGAAGGAAUAUUUACCUUGCACAAGUUUUGACAGAGAAAAAUUUACUCAGUCUGGUAGGUUUUCAGGACCAUCCCAUUCAGAAACUAACUCUCCAUCCAGUUAAUGUCACUCAGGUCGGUAUGUGCUUGCUUUGGAGAUAGAGAAGUGUUGCCUAGUGAGCAGUGUCCAUGUUUAAUGGAGCAGGAGGGGUGUCAGGCCUGGCAGCCUCUCUGAAAAGGAUUAGUAUUGUUGCCUGGGUGGAGGUUGCCCAUCAUCUCUCACCGCAAGCAAUGCUGGGCUGGGUAUCAGCUGCAAAGUUCAUGGGAUCCAGAAAGGGAGAUAGCGAAGUCUUCCCACGUGGGAUGAGGAAGCCUCAAAUGCCAUGUAAGCGUUGUUCAGCCCUUGCCGGGGUGAACAGGGGUCAUGCAAUGUUGGCUCCUUUCCUUUGGUCAUCUCGGGGGCACGUGAGUCAGCACAGUUGUGGCGUUCAUGAUUAGAAAUUAAAUCCACAAACUGUUGAGGAUCUUCAGAUUCACAGACUUUCAAUAAGUAUUUAAGGAAUAGCAUACUCGUUGUACAAUUUCAUGGUAAUUGUGUAUGUACAAAACAUACAUACACACAUGCACACAUUUUUAGUCCCUGUAUGAGUUAGAGAACGUAUGCUGUUUGAAUUCUAUAGAACUGAUGAAUUUUAAAACAUUUUGCUUUGCUAUAUUCACCUCUGUUCCCACGGUAAGUUCUACCCAAACCUGUGUCUACCCAAGCUUCCUGAAGUAGAUGUCUGGUAAAGCAAAAGAGACAGACACUCUCCAUCUUCUACCCCCUCAUCGUCUCCCUUAUUUUCUGAGGCAGCAUAAAUCAAGGCUUUGCUUGUGCUGAUGAUUAAAGUGCUCUGUUUUUUUCCAGAAAUUAAUAUUGUUCUUAGUGAGAAAAAUAUAUUUGAAAUGCACACAGUAGGUGUGAAAUGUAUCAUGCCUUUAAAAUCAGUCUUCUACCACUGAGACAGGCACCUGGGGGGAGCAGUGGAGGUGGGGGAUUCUGGUUGAUUUGGGGGUUUAUUUUGGUGAUCCUUUCCUUGUUAUCAUGAUAUUAAUACCUCUUAUUUGUUAUGAGUAUUAGCUGCUGCAGUAAAACCCAACCAAGGGCAGGAUAAAUGUUCACAUAAGCAUUUUUCUAGUUAAUGAAAGGAUAUGAAGUGCUAGUCAUCAUAGGAUGUUAUUAGCGUGAACCACAGUCUUCUGUAUUCAGUAUAAACAAUUUACUGCAAAAAGGGAAAAUAGAAACAUGGUAUGUAUAGCAUAUAGCUGAAAAACAUACGCCUUCCAGUGGCAUUCCGCUGAGAAUUAGAGCCAAAUACUGUCCUUUCUCUUUCUCCAACAUACACACCAACUCCUGCUAUCAUAACAUACAUUACUUCCACCAGAGUUUGAGUCAUCAUAUUUUAUUACACCUGUUAAAAGACAGCUCAAUCUUUAUAGCGGAUGAACUUUUGUAAUUACUCUAUAUUUAUGUUGUAUUUUUGAGUUAAUUAUAUUGUGCUUAUGGGUUUUGACAGCUAAUUACCACUAAUUCAUAUAAUGACAUGUCUGAAAUACUUGAUAUUCAAUUGUUUUCAUAAUGAUAUAUUUUGCUUAUCUUGUAUUUACAUGGUAAUUGCUACAGACAUGUAGUUACAGUGCCAGUUAUGUGAGCUUAGGCGCAACUAAAAGUCUCCAAAAGCAGAUACACUGUUUGGUUAUCCCAGGCAAUGGACGAAAUUAAACAUUUUAGCUUGGUUGUGUGUAUAGUAAGGGUUUCAGAGGAAAAAGUAUGCCUUCAUAUGAAAGCUACAGCUAGAACUAGUUAUCGCUAACUCCCUGAAGAAUGCAGUAUCACAACAGUGGCUCUAUUAUAUGGGUAACCAAAAAAUUGUCCAUAUGUGCUGUCAGCUCAGCGAGUGUCUGGCAUUGAUCUAUCAGUUCCCAUGGCUUCCACUACCAACAGCAAAGUUCCAGAAAUAAAAGCAGUAAUUCUCUUUUUCAUGUGAUUUUUCAGGAGCUAUUGAACGAGUUUAGCUUGAGAUUUUUGUUCAAGUCGUGACCCAGGGCCCAAGUCCCAUGAGCAUUUGCCUUAAGACUGUGAUGGUACCAUGAGUUCAGUUCAAAUACAAACUCAUGCUACCAUAAAUGUACUGCAGCAUUCCUGGACCUUCUUCCCACGUGGCAAACUGAGGGUGCAUCAGGCCACUGUGGAGGUCAGAGCUCAGCCAGUCUAAUAUCUGAAUGUCUCUUACUCAGUGGGAUUUGCGCCCGGGACUUGUGUAAGAAUUGUUUUCUCAUACUAAAUGGGAGCCUGUCCUUGACCUUUAGGGUGUUCUACACCAUGUGGGCUGUCAGUAAUUCACUUCUGUGCUUGCAGCAAGCACACUGGCCAGAUGGAAAUCCCACGCUCGCAGUCCCCAGCAGCAAUCUCAUGCCACCAGCCCAGUGCUUUUCACCAACAUGAGACAUUUUUCAGCAUGAGUAAGGACCCACAGCACCUUCUGCUACAAUAAAACUAUUUGUUCAGUUAUACAAAAUUUUCCUUUCAAAGCAAGUCUAGAGCCAUUUUAUGAGUCAUCUGCUUUAUUUUAUCAGCAAGAAAUUGGGCAUAUAUUCGCUAAGGCUUAAUCUGAAAUCUUUUGCUCACAGCGGAACUAUUUUCAUUGAUUUCAAAGGGUCCCAGAUCAAGCUUCAAGGUCCUUAAUACACUAUUAAGUUUUAGUCUGUCAAAUUUGUUCAUUUGGGGCCUUUAUGAAUUGCAGAGUAGUUGUGUACAGACCCAAGUCAUGCGGAGAUUAAAUAAACCCCAUCAACAUCAGUCUCCUGACACAGAAUAGCAACAAGAAACAAAUAUUGACUGGAAAAACAAUGCAUGUACAGUGACAUUUAGCUUGUAUAAAGUGAUAGUCUCUAUAUAAAUACAAACAGCACCAUUUCCCCAGAGCUGA